AGAACUGUAGUUAAUUUAUAAUAUUAAUCUGUCAGAUUAAAGUUUUUAGUUCUU
rnacentral:tRNA from 1 species